GGGGCCAUAGCUCAGCCCGGUAGAGCGCGGCGUCGCAAGACGCCGAGGUCGGGGGUUCAAAUCCUUCUGGCUCCA
rnacentral:tRNA from 1 species